CGAAGGGGGCUAGCGUUGUUCGGAAUUACUGGGCGUAAAGGGCGCGUAGGCGGCCCUCCAAGUCAGAUGUGAAAGCCCCGGACUUAACCUGGGAAUUGCAUUUGAGACUGUGGGGCUUGAGUUUCGGAGAGGUGGGUGGAAUUCCCAGUGUAGAGGUGAAAUUCGUAGAUAUUGGGAAGAACACCGGUGGCGAAGGCGGCCCACUGGACGAACACUGACGCUGAGGCGCGAAAGCGUGGGGAGCAAACAGGAUUAGAUACCCUGGUAGUCCACGCUGUAAACGAUGAGUGCUAGACGUUGGGGCCCUUAGGGUUUCAGUGUCGCAGCUAACGCAUUAAGCACUCCGCCUGGGGAGUACGGCCGCAAGGUUA
rnacentral:rRNA from 1 species